rnacentral:rRNA from 1 species
AACGAACGCUGGCGGCAGGCCUAACACAUGCAAGUCGAGCGAGAUCUUCGGGUCUAGCGGCGGACGGGUGAGUAACGCGUGGGAAUAUGCCCUUCUCUGCGGAAUAGCCUCGGGAAACUGAGCGUAAUACCGCAUACGCCCUUUGGGGGAAAGAUUUAUCGGAGAAGGAUUAGCCCGCGUUGGAUUAGGUAGUUGGUGGGGUAACGGCCUACCAAGCCGACGAUCCAUAGCUGGUUUGAGAGGAUGAUCAGCCACACUGGGACUGAGACACGGCCCAGACUCCUACGGGAAGCAGCAGUGGGGAAUCUUAGACAAUGGGGGCAACCCUGAUCUAGCCAUGCCGCGUGAGUGAUGAAGGCCUUAGGGUUGUAAAGCUCUUUCAGCUGGGAAGAUAAUGACGGUACCAGCAGAAGAAGCCCCGGCUAACUCCGUG